CACUGAGAAGCUAAACAGGGAUUAGCAUUAGCCUUUUAAGCUAAAGAUUGGUGGCCCCCAACCACCCCCAGUGA
rnacentral:tRNA from 1 species